AUGGACGCAAGUCUGAUGGAGCAACGCCGCGUGAGUGAAGAAGGGUUUCGGCUCGUAAAGCUCUGUUGGUAGUGAAGAAAGAUAGAGGUAGUAACUGGCCUUUAUUUGACGGUAAUUACUUAGAAAGUCACGGCUAACUACGUGCCAGCAGCCGCGGUAAUACGUAGGUGGCAAGCGUUGUCCGGAUUUAUUGGGCGUAAAGCGAGUGCAGGCGGUUCAAUAAGUCUGAUGUGAAAGCCUUCGGCUCAACCGGAGAAUUGCAUCAGAAACUGUUGAACUUGAGUGCAGAAGAGGAGAGUGGAACUCCAUGUGUAGCGGUGGAAUGCGUAGAUAUAUGGAAGAACACCGGUGGCGAAGGCGGCUCUCUGGUCUGCAACUGACGCUGAGGCUCGAAAGCAUGGGUAGCGAACAGGAUUAGAUACCCUGGUAGUCCAUGCCGUAAACGAUGAGUGCUAAGUGUUGGGAGGUUUCCGCCUCUCAGUGCUGCAGCUAACGCAUUAAGCACUCCGCCUGGGGAGUACGACCGCAAGGUUGAAACUCAAAGGAAUUGACGGGGGCCCGCACAAGCGGUGGAGCAUGUGGUUUAAUUCGAAGCAACGCGAAGA
rnacentral:rRNA from 1 species